rnacentral:rRNA from 1 species
GCAAGUCUUAUUUUGAUUAUAUUAUUAUAUAUAAUCUAUAAGAUUGUAUUAAAAUUGAAUAAAGCUUUGUUUAUAUAUCGAUAAUGACGGUAUAUAUAUCGUGUCUUGGCUAAUUACGUGCCAGCAGCCGCGGUAAUACGUAAGAGACUAGUGUUAUUCAUCUUAAUUAGGUUUAAAGGGUACCUAGACGGUCAAUAUAGCUUCUAUAAUGUUAGUACUUGACUAGAGUUUGAUAUAAGAGGGCAGUACUUGAGGAGGAGAGAUGAAAUUCUAUUAUACCAAAGGGACUCGGUAAAGGCGAAGGCAGCCCUCUAUGUAAAAACUGACGUUGAAGGACGAAGGCACAGAGCACAAACAGGAUUAGAUACCCAAGUAGUCUUUGCAGUAAAUGAUGAAUGUCAUAGGUUAGAUUAAGCUUUAAUUAAUUAGUUUAUCAGUAAUGAACUAACUAUUAAACAAUAUUUAGUCUAUAAAUGAAAGUGUAAGCAUUCCACCUCAAGAGUAAUGUGGCAACGCAGGAACUGAAAU